rnacentral:rRNA from 1 species
UAUGGCUGCUGUGCGAUUUUGCGCUUUUGUGUCUUCGGGCGCAACAAGACGGAGUCGUAUUGGCGGUCAUUGGCGGCAAUUACGCGGGCGGCUUGUGCAAACGGUGGUGCGAGUAGGUCGGUCUCCACCCGACCCGUCUUGAAACACGGACCAAGGAGCCUAACACGUACGCAAGUCGCACGGUCUUGUUCAGGCCUGUGAGGCGCAAUGAAGAUAAACUGCUAUGAAGCUGCCUCUUGACGGGGGCAGCCACAGUAGCGGCCUGCCUACUUUCUCUAUUCGGGGAUAUGGUGGAGCUGGAGCGUAUGCGUUGGUACCCGAAAGAUGGUGAACUAUGCCUGGGCAAGACGAAGCCAGAGGAAACUCUGGUGGAGGUCUGUAGCGAUUCUGACGUGCAAAUCGAUCGUCAGACCUGGGUAUAGGGGCGAAAGACUAAUCGAACCAUCUAGUUGCUGGUUCCCUCUGAAGUUUCCCUCAGGAUAGCAGGCGCUCGAUUGAACACAGUUUCAUCCGGUAAAGCUAAUGAUUAGAGGUCUUGGGGCCUAAUCGGCCUCAACCUAUUCUCAAACUUUAAAUGGGUGAGAUGCAUGACUUGCUUGAUUCAUGAAGCCAUGCAAUUGAAUGUAUGAGUGCCUAGUGGGCCAUUUUUGGUAAGCAGAACUGGCGCUGUGGGAUGAACCAAACGUCGAGUUAAGGCAUCAAAUGCGUACGCUCAUCAGACCCCAGAAAAGGUGUUGGUUGCUAUAGACAGCAGGACGGUGGCCAUGGAAGUUGGAAUCCGCUAAGGAGUGUGUAACAACUCACCUGCCGAAGCAACUAGCCCUGAAAAUGGACGAUGCUGUAGCGUGGAGCCGAUACUCGACCGUAGUCGGGAUACCCGCUGGAAAAUGCGAUCCGACUACGAGUAAGAGGGCCGUGGCGGUAGCGUUGAAGGUGUCGGACGUGAGUCCGCCUGGAGCUGCCGCCAGUGCAGAUCUUGGUGGUAGUAGCAAAUACUCAAGUGAGAAUCUUGAGGACUAACGAGGAGAAGGGUUUCAUGUGAACAGCAGUUGGACAUGAGUCAGUCGGUCCUAAGGGAGCGGAGAAAUCCGUUACAACGGCCACAAUUGUUUACUACUUCAUUGCAGUGAUACUGUGGACGAUUUCCCGAAAGGGCAUCGGGUUAAUAUUCCCGAACUCAGACGCAGAGGGUGCCUCCUUCGGGGGGCGAAUGCGGCAACGCAGUCAAAAUCGAAAACGUCGGCGGCAGUCCCAGGAAGAGUUGUCUUUUCUCUAUAAGGGGUCGACUCCAUGAAAACAGCUUGCCUGGAGAUAUGGAUGUUGACACCGAAGAGCCCCGCGGUUCUUGCGGGGUCUGGUGCGCUGCUGUCGGCCCUUGAAAAUUCGAUGGCGAAUACUUUACCUCUGCCCUGAGCCGUACCAAUAUCCGCAGCAGGUCUCCAAGGUGAAUAGCCUCUAGUUUCUAGAAUAAUGUAGGUAAGGGAAGUCGGCAAAACUGAUCCGUAACUUCGGGAUAAGGAUUGGCUCUGAAGGAUGGGCCAGUCGGGCUGUAGUACGAAACCGGUGUUGCGCCUGACUGGAACUGGCCACCGGGUCUCACGACCUGGAGGCUGGAUCUGCGUUGGCGCCUGCCGGUGGACGACUGCGGCUAUGCUCCUGUUCCCUGUGAGCGGGAUGUCAUUUCGGCUGGCAUGCAACAUCUGACUCAGAACUGGCACGGACUCCGGGAAUCCGACUGUCUAAUUAAAACAAAGCAUUGCGAUGGCCGGUGAUCGGUGUUGACGCAAUGUGAUUUCUGCCCAGUGGUAUGAAUGUUAAGGUGAAGAAAUUCACUCAAGCGCUACUAAACGGCGGGAGUAACUAUGACUCUCUUAAGGUAGCCAAAUGCCUCGUCAUCUAAUUAGUGACGCGCAUGAAUGGAUUAACGAGAUUCCCACUGUCCC